rnacentral:rRNA from 1 species
UACGAAGGGGACUAGCGUUGUUCGGAAUCACUGGGCGUAAAGCGCACGUAGGCGGAUUUGUAAGUCAGGGGUGAAAUCCCGGGGCUCAACCUCGGAACUGCCUUUGAUACUGCGAAUCUCGAGUCCGAUAGAGGUGGGUGGAAUUCCUAGUGUAGAGGUGAAAUUCGUAGAUAUUAGGAAGAACACCGGUGGCGAAGGCGGCCCACUGGAUCGGUACUGACGCUGAGGUGCGAAAGCGUGGGGAGCAAACAGG